UGAACCGGAGGCUCCUGUACCGGCUGCAUCCGGAGCAGGGCAUGCCGGCCGGCGUGUGCGUGGACGCUGCGGGGAAGCUCUGGGUGGCCUCUGCGUCGAUAGAGGGGAAGGUGCUGUGCACGGUGGAGCUGCCUGUGUACAGGGUCACCUCCUGCUGCUUCGGGGACCCGGCUACGACAACCUCUACGUGACCUCCGCGGCGGACCGCCUGAGUCCGGAGCACUUGUUACGGGAGCCCCGGGCUGGACACAUCUUCAAGGUCACGGGCUUUGGGGUGAGAGGAGGCCCCC
rnacentral:lncRNA from 1 species